AUUCCCCACCCCCCAACAUGGCUGCACUGAAGCGUGAGCCUCAGCCUCAGUGUUUGUAGGGAAUGAUCAUAUUUUAACCCUAGCAGGGUGCCACUGCACCUUGACUCCAAACUUGAGGUGUUCCAGAGGGUCCUUGAGCGCUGCCAUUCGAGAGGCUACCAUUUAGGUCCAUGGCUUUCUCCGUGCACAGGAAAGGGCACUCUGUGAGGUUCUACAAGGUGACUCUCUGCCUAGCUUUACCGGCACCAGGCAAGUUCGAACCCAGGGACUUAAACACUCCAAAU
rnacentral:lncRNA from 1 species